rnacentral:rRNA from 1 species
UACGGAGGGUGCAAGCGUUAUCCGGAUUCACUGGGUUUAAAGGGUGCGUAGGUGGGUUGGUAAGUCAGUGGUGAAAUCUCCGUGCUUAACGUGGAAACUGCCAUUGAUACUACUGAUCUUGAAUUUUCAGGAGGUAAGCGGAAUAUGUCAUGUAGCGGUGAAAUGCUUAGAUAUGACAUAGAACACCAAUUGCGAAGGCAGCUUACUACAGGAAUAUUGACACUGAUGCACGAAAGCGUGGGGAGCAAACAGG